rnacentral:lncRNA from 1 species
AGCCUUUGCAGUAUUCCUUGAUACUAACUUGGCCUCCUCACAAACAUAAGCAAAUAAAGAUCUAAUGCCUUCAUACUCAACAAACUGAAAUGGUAGAUCAUGCUUAAUAAUUGCAAGUGUUAGCAAUUCACAAAAUUUGUUAGGAUUAAACUUAGUAGAACACACUGAUAUGGACCCUUGAGCUUGUGAUAAGAUCAUCUGUCCUAUGUCAUGAUUCUUUCUGCAAUUCUCUAUAUGACGUUUCAUAUUUCCGGUCCCAGCCUUACCACCAAAUGAAUAUUCUGCACCACACUUUAUACACCUGUAUUUUUCAGUUGCUUCAUUUAUAUGAAAAUAUUGAUAAACAUGAGAAGUCAACUAUCUUUUACGUUUUCCUUGUGUGGAGUCGCAUACAACUGUAUUAGAACCUAAGGGCGUCGAUUCAUUUGCCCUAUCACCAUCACUCUCUAACUCUAUAUUCACGAACUGUUUAUCCAUCUAUAUCAUAUAAUUUAAAAUUAUAUCAGAAUACCAAUUUAGAAAGAAAAUAAUUUGAAAAGAGAACAGAAACAUAAUUUGAAAAGCAGCCGAUUCAAAUGACACAACAGUUCUCAAAUAAUUGUCAAAGAAAAUUGAAUGAGGUAGUGGGUUAGGAGGAAUAAUGAUUGGUGUGUUAUGUAAAGAACUAUUGGUACAUUAUGAUUAAACUAAACUUGUUAUGUUUCAGGUGUUUGGUGCAGAUAGGAAGGAGGUGAAAGCUGUUCUUCCAUGAAGCACUGCAAGAACAUUAUCAAACACCCUGUACUUCUGCAAGGAACUAACUAAUUGAUGUUCAGAAAAAAAAUAAAGAUGGAUGGUUAGGAUUCUGUUAAAUCUGAGUGUCCUCCAUUCAAAUUUCUAUUGAAAAAGUGAUGGAUCUGUUUUGUAUUCAAUAAGAACGCUAAAUUUUGUUUGUUAGAGGCCAUCGCUACCAAAGACAUGUUGUGCUGAAAUUCAUGCUGAUAAAAUUGUCAGCAUUGCAUAAUUAUUACAUUUUCAUGGCAUGCGUGGAAGGACACAGAAAGAUCAACAGCAGCAUAGUUCACAAUGUUUGAGAACUGACCAAUAUAAGUAUAUUAAGGUGGAUAUGUGCAAUAAACAUGACUGUAAAUAUGCAAUAAAAAAAACCCUCAUAAAGAUUCAUCCAUUUCCAGCUGAACACUAAUAAUGAUAAGAAGGCACUGGCCUGGCACAUUUACUGGUUCUGAUUCUAUUAUACAACUAACAACAAAGCAUCAAUACACUGUUGCUUAAUCCAGAUGACAGAAAAACAAAAGGCUUUCUCAUCUAUUACCUUCUUUGGAUGUGCCCUGAAACUCGAUCACAAGCUCCUGCAACAAAAGAGGAAUGCAUUGCUAAGCAACAAAUUCCAAUUAACUAAAAUGACUAAAAAUCACA